rnacentral:rRNA from 1 species
UACGUAGGGGGCAAGCGUUGUCCGGAAUUAUUGGGCGUAAAGAGCGCGUAGGCGGUCCGAUAAGUCGGCUGUGAAAGUCAGGGGCUCAACCCUUGAAAGCCGGCCGAUACUGUCGGACUAGAGUCCGGAAGAGGCAAGUGGAAUUCCCGGUGUAGCGGUGAAAUGCGUAGAGAUCGUAAGGAAGACCAGUGGCGAAGGCGAGUUUCUGGACAGUUACUGACGCUGAGGCACGAAGGCCAGGGGAGCAAACGGG